rnacentral:rRNA from 1 species
GGGUAUGGCUGUUCGCCAUUUAAAGUGGUACGCGAGCUGGGUUUAGAACGUCGUGAGACAGUUCGGUCCCUAUCUGCCGUGGGCGCUGGAGAACUGAGGGGGGCUGCUCCUAGUACGAGAGGACCGGAGUGGACGCAUCACUGGUGUUCGGGUUGUCAUGCCAAUGGCACUGCCCGGUAGCUAAAUGCGGAAGAGAUAAGUGCUGAAAGCAUCUAAGCACGAAACUUGCCCCGAGAUGAGUUCUCCCUGACCCUUUAAGGGUCCUGAAGGAACGUUGAAGACGACGACGUUGAUAGGCCGGGUGUGUAAGCGCAGCGAUGCGUUGAGCUAACCGGUACUAAUGAACCGUGAGGCUUAACCUUACAACGCCGAAG